GACGAACGCUGGCGGCGUGCCUAAUACAUGCAAGUAGAACGCUGAAGGAGGAGCUUGCUUCUCUGGAUGAGUUGCGAACGGGUGAGUAACGCGUAGGUAACCUGCCUGGUAGCGGGGGAUAACUAUUGGAAACGAUAGCUAAUACCGCAUAACAGUAGAUACCGCAUGAUAUCUACUUGAAAGGUGCAAUUGCAUCACUACCAGAUGGACCUGCGUUGUAUUAGCUAGUUGGUGAGGUAACGGCUCACCAAGGCGACGAUACAUAGCCGACCUGAGAGGGUGAUCGGCCACACUGGGACUGAGACACGGCCCAGACUCCUACGGGAGGCAGCAGUAGGGAAUCUUCGGCAAUGGACGGAAGUCUGACCGAGCAACGCCGCGUGAGUGAAGAAGGUUUUCGGAUCGUAAAGCUCUGUUGUAAGAGAAGAACGAGUGUGAGAGUGGAAAGUUCACACUGUGACGGUAUCUUACCAGAAAGGGACGGCUAACUACGUG
rnacentral:rRNA from 1 species